rnacentral:lncRNA from 1 species
AAGGAGCUCAUCAUCAAGUCUUCCACUAAACUGUCCCCUCAAGAUUUCCAGGACUCCGGGGAGCCACACUCUAUAGGCUGCUGUGGUCUUAUUUGCUGCAUGAAGACAGCGGGCCUGCAGUAGGUGUGCCUCGUAGUGAUCACCGCACUGUGUGGGGACUGGCGGUGUGGACCAUGGUGUCUGCUGCACCUGUACAGCUGGGUCACAGUAAGCCUCCCGCAGGCACUGCUCUGGGCCCAGCAGACUUGCUGACGACGGGGACAGCUCCGUGCAGGAAGCCUCAGAACAAUGCAUCGCUGCAGCCCAGAGGUCUGGGCACGCCCACGGAGAUUUCCCCUGUGUGUUCUGGAAUGUUUAGUGUGGUUGACCUUGCCAGUGAUUUAUGAAGUAUCUUAAAAAUAGUUUUUACCUAGAAAUAAAAUAUGCCCCUGAUUCUUAUGCUUACAAUGACCAUUGUACUUGUGAUGACUUCAGCUACAGUUGUUUGAGAUCAGUAUUAUAUUCACCCAGAAUACUUAAUCAAAUAGUUUCCCUAACAAGCACUUGGUUUCUGAGCAGAAUUUCCUCUAGUGGUACAAGGAAACCAUUCAUGUCUUACCCUUAAGAGGUGAUGGAUAAAAUUAUCCUGAUUAUGAAGAAAUUAUUUGUCCAGUGAAUAAAGUCUGCUGACCCUAUUGUAUAGACAUUCACAUUUUUCUGAGUCUGACCUCACUCAGUUAUGGCCACAGUGGGUGGUGGCCCUACCUGUGCCGGGACACCUCUCUCCCCCCAUGUGGUCACUGUCCCUGGUGUGAGAAGUGUCCCCCCCAGGUCGGGCCUCGUCUGGCUCUGGCCUGGACCUUACUCCUCCUAACUGCACUCAUCCACUUAGAGAGGGC